GCCCGCGCGCACACUUCUUUGAGCACGGCCCAAGGCCACUUGGCCGCAGGCUCUGUUUCAGGCUCGAUCCACAGAUCCAGGCCCAUCGCUCCAGCUAGCUCCACCAGGCGCCAAUUUCGUGUUCGAGACUCUACAACGGACGCUUCCAGUUGACUGCAUACGCCAUAGGCAACAGGUUCUUCUUUCUUUUGGCCUUGUUUAUCUA
rnacentral:lncRNA from 1 species